AAUCCCGUGAACCAUCGAGUCUUUGAACGCAAGUUGCGCCCGAAGCCAUUAGGCCGAGGGCACGCCUGCCUGGGCGUCACGCAUCGCGUCGCCCCCCCAUCCGCGCACCAGUGGAUUCAGGGGGGGGCGGAGAUUGGCCUCCCGUGGGCUCCCGCUUGCGGCCGGCCU
rnacentral:rRNA from 1 species